UACGUAGGGUGCAAGCGUUGUCCGGAAUUAUUGGGCGUAAAGAGCUUGUAGGCGGUCUGUCGCGUCUGCUGUGAAAAUCCGGGGCUCAACCCCGGACCUUGCAGUGGGUACGGGCAGACUAGAGUGUUGCAGGGGAGACUGGAAUUCCUGGUGUAGCGGUGAAAUGCGCAGAUAUCAGGAGGAACACCGGUGGCGAAGGCGGGUCUCUGGGCAAGCAACGUGACGCUGAGGAGCGAAAGCGUGGGGAGCGAACAGG
rnacentral:rRNA from 1 species